rnacentral:lncRNA from 1 species
GUAUUAGGCCUUGGACCAGCAGCAUGGGAGAAGCUAUCUAAGCAGGGAGCUGACACCCAGAGAACCAGACAGUAGGAGGGAGGCCUGGUGGCCCCAGAGUCCCUGGUUUGAGUCAUUCCUAAGGCUGGCUGCAUUCUUGUCAAGCCGGUGGUUUGGAUACUGGAGUCAAUAAGUAAUCCCCGUACUCCCCUUUCCCAGAAGCCCGAGCAAAGCUGGCUCUGUACCAGGAUGAGGGGAGGCUUGUGUGUGUGUGUGUGUGCGCUGUGGGUUCCUGAUCAGAAAGUUCUACCCCAUCUGAUGAGCCCUGGCAAAAAAGUCAUCAGAGAUGGUACUGAGGCUCUGAAAGCCUACGUGCUGGGGAAGAAGAUCCUAAGGAAGCAAUAAGGGAUUGUUAUAAGAACAGGAGUGAAAAUAACAACAGAGUCUCUGGCCAGGCCCCUCCUGAACAGUGGGAGGAUAUUUUGGCCUAGAGACAGCCACAGAGAGUCCCAAGGGGGUGGGGGUCAGGGGAGGGAUUGAGCUAAAGGAACGCUGGGGCAAUUCUACAACUAGGUCAAAG